UACGGAGGGUGCAAGCGUUAAUCGGAAUUACUGGGCGUAAAGCGUGCGCAGGCGGUUUGUUAAGUCUGUUGUGAAAUCCCCGAGCUCAACUUGGGAAUUGCAAUGGAUACUGGCAGGCUGGAGUAUGGUAGAGGAAGGUGGAAUUCCCGGUGUAGCAGUGAAAUGCGUAGAGAUCGGGAGGAACACCAGUGGCGAAGGCGGCCUUCUGGACCAAGACUGACGCUGAAGCACGAAAGCGUGGGGAGCAAACAGG
rnacentral:rRNA from 1 species